AUGGGUGAAGUGUUGGAGUUGGUGGGGAGCAAAGGUAGUGGAGUUGGUGGAGUGGGAUGUUUGGUGAGGUGGGGUUGGUGUUGGUGCUGAUACUUUGAGUGUGGUGGGGAAGUUGGUGGAGUGGAGAAGUGGGGAGUAAAGACGUGUACAUCAUUAGCAAAAGAUUGAAAUAAUAACUGUAUUUAAACUCUAAUUGAUUGAAGAGCUUUUGUUUUUGUAAUAUACUAAACGAUUUUCCCCAAGCUGGGAACUAGCCUGUAAUCUGUGAACUGUAAAUAAAUACUGGCUUCGAUUUUCA
rnacentral:lncRNA from 1 species